AGAGCGAACGCUGGCGGCAUGCCUAACACAUGCAAGUCGAACGAUCUCUUCGGAGAUAGUGGCGCACGGGUGCGUAACGCGUGGGAAUCUGCCCUUGGGUUCGGAAUAACAGUUGGAAACGACUGCUAAUACCGGAUGAUGACGUUAAGUCCAAAGAUUUAUCGCCCAGGGAUGACGCCCGCGUAGGAUUAGCUAGUUGGUGAGGUAAAGGCUC
rnacentral:rRNA from 1 species